rnacentral:rRNA from 1 species
CCUUUUGCAUCAUGGUCUAGCUAGUCUAACCAAGCAAAACGACUUUAAGUUUGCCCCCCCGAAACUAAGUGAGCUACUUAAGAAUAGCCUUUAGGGCCAACCCAUCUCUGUUGCAAAAGAGUGGGAUAAUUUUUAAGUAGAGGUGACAAACCUACCGAACUUAGAGAUAGCUGGUUUUUUAAGAAAAGAAUUUUAGUUCAGCCCUAAAUUUUUAUACUAAACAAAAAGUCUACUUAAACUUAGGAGUUACUCAAAUAAGGCACAGCUUAUUUGAAACAGGAUACAACCUAUACUACAGGGUAAGAUAGCUGAAUGAUACCAAGUGGGCCUAAAAGCAGCCACCUUUAAAAUAGCGUCAAAGCUUAUUUUUAUAAUUUCGUUAAUCCCGCAAACCCCCUCUAACCCGUAUUUUUUAUUAAAAAACUCCAUAAAACUAUGGAAGCUAUUAUGCUAGAACAAGUAACAAGAAAAAGAAUUUCUCCAAAAAUGUAAGCUUAAGCCGUAAUAGACAUUCUACCGGCAAUUAACGUUUGUGAACAACUUAUAGUAACAUAACAAGAAAACCCUAUAUUUUUUAACGUCAACCUUACACUAGAGCAUUUAUGGAAAGAUAAAAAAAAGAGGAAGGAACUCGGCAAAUAUAAAUCCCGCCUGUUUAC